UACGUAGGGACCAAGCGUUGUUCGGAUUUACUGGGCGUAAAGGGCGCGUAGGCGGCGAUUCAAGUCAUCUGUGAAAUCUCCGGGCUUAACCCGGAACGGUCAGGUGAUACUGUUUUGCUAGAGUGCGGAAGGGGCAAUCGGAAUUCUCGGUGUAGCGGUGAAAUGCGUAGAUAUCGAGAGGAACACCAGAGGUGAAGACGGGUUGCUGGGCCGACACUGACGCUGACAGCGCGAAAGCCAGGGGAGCAAACGGG
rnacentral:rRNA from 1 species